UGGCAGAUAGCAAAACAAAAGAAAAUCUAGUAUUAGGUGAUGAUUUAAUUGUAGGUUCUUUUCAUUUCUUAAAAUAAGGAUGUAAAUGCCCAAGUAUUUUGGGCCACUUUUUUAGAGUCUCAUCUUACUUGUUUUGCUGUGGCUUUUUAAAGGAAUUCAGGCCCAACUCAAAAAGAUAAAGUCAAUUUUUUCGUUAGACUUUUGGAUUUUUAAUUUUUUAGGCCCUUUAAAUCUUGAGGCCCUAGGCAAUAACCUAGAUUUCCAUGCGCCACAGCCAGGCCAGGUUAGUAUAUAGUAUCAGAAUAAAACCACUUAUCCAGAUUUAAAAAGGGGAAGGGAAAAGGCAGACUGAUUUGUUAGAAAAUGAUUGGGUGUUUUUGUUUUAAUUUUUCAAACUAUCCAAUCAUGCGUUGACACGUGUCUCGUCUGGAUUUGAGUCUAAAUGUGUAGCAUGAUUGAUAGUAUCAACAUCACUAAUUUAGCAUCACUAAUUUAGCAAGAUAAAC
rnacentral:lncRNA from 1 species